AGCCGGUUCUCGGACGCGCUCCUCGCAUUCGUAUGCUCCAUCUCAUUGACGUCACCGCGGUCACUUGUCGUGCGCGGUUCCACACUACGUUUUUCGACAACGGCACGGCACGGCACGUAAUACGUAGGUUUUAAUUAUCAAUGCUGUUAU